rnacentral:lncRNA from 1 species
GAGCAGUGGUUCUCAACCUCUCAAUUUGUAGCAAUGAGAAUACAUAAUGCAUAUCAAGUAUUUACAUUCUGAAUCAUAACUGUAGCAAAAUUACAGUUUUGAAGUAGCCACCAAAAUAAUUUUUUGGUUUGGGGUCACUGCAACAUGAGGAACUGUAGUGCGGGGGUCAUGGCAUUAGAAAGGUUGAGAACCACUAGCUUAGAUUCUCCAUCCCCAAUCAUAUCCCCAUGGACCCAUGUGAUCAAGCAGUUGUUUUUCUUCUGUGUUUCUACUCCCACAGUUCAGAAGAUACAUUUCUAUCUGCUAUGAUGUUACACCCUAAAGACCACCAGGACCUUUCUGUCUCACAUGCAGCUGAACGUUCCCUUUGUGUUGUCUCUCCCAUUAGAAGAUUUCAGUCUCAUGUGCUCUGGCCCAUGGGCAAGCUUGGUUUUGCUGCAGGGAAGGGCAGACUGACCAGCAGAAGCAGUGCCCAUUCAGCAUUUGGGACUUCUCUGUUAAAAAAAAAAUUGAAAGUCUGGAGUGAUCAAAGCCUGGGGCAGUGAAAUAUAAAAGUGAAGGUCCUUCUGGAGAAAACCUUUAUUUAAAAAAGGGGGGGGGGCAGCUGGGUGGCUCAGUGGAUGGAGAGCCAGGUCUAGAGACAGGAGGUCCUGGGUUCAAAUCUGAUCUCAGACACUUCCCAGCUGUGUGACCCUGGGCAAGUCACUUAAACCCCAUUGCCUAGCCCUUACCACUCUUCUGCCUUGGAGCCAAUACACAGUAUUGAC